rnacentral:rRNA from 1 species
GGUUAAGCGACUAAGCGUACACGGUGGAUGCCCUGGCAGUCAGAGGCGAUGAAGGACGUGCUAAUCUGCGAUAAGCGUCGGUAAGGUGAUAUGAACCGUUAUAACCGGCGAUUUCCGAAUGGGGAAACCCAGUGUGAUUCGUCACACUAUCAUUAACUGAAUCCAUAGGUUAAUGAGGCGAACCGGGGGAACUGAAACAUCUAAGUACCCCGAGGAAAAGAAAUCAACCGAGAUUCCCCCAGUAGCGGCGAGCGAACGGGGAGCAGCCCAGAGCCUGAAUCAGUGUGUGUGUUAGUGGAAGCGUCUGGAAAGGCGCGCGAUACAGGGUGACAGCCCCGUACACAAAAAUGCACAUGCUGUGAGCUCGAUGAGUAGGGCGGGACACGUGGUAUCCUGUCUGAAUAUGGGGGGACCAUCCUCCAAGGCUAAAUACUCCUGACUGACCGAUAGUGAACCAGUACCGUGAGGGAAAGGCGAAAAGAACCCCGGCGAGGGGAGUGAAAAAGAACCUGAAACCGUGUACGUACAAGCAGUGGGAGCACGCUUAGGCGUGUGACUGCGUACCUUUUGUAUAAUGGGUCAGCGACUUAUAUUCUGUAGCAAGGUUAACCGAAUAGGGGAGCCGAAGGGAAACCGAGUCUUAACUGGGCGUUAAGUUGCAGGGUAUAGACCCGAAACCCGGUGAUCUAGCCAUGGGCAGGUUGAAGGUUGGGUAACACUAACUGGAGGACCGAACCGACUAAUGUUGAAAAAUUAGCGGAUGACUUGUGGCUGGGGGUGAAAGGCCAAUCAAACCGGGAGAUAGCUGGUUCUCCCCGAAAGCUAUUUAGGUAGCGCCUCGUGAAUUCAUCUCCGGGGGUAGAGCACUGUUUCGGCAAGGGGGUCAUCCCGACUUACCAACCCGAUGCAAACUGCGAAUACCGGAGAAUGUUAUCACGGGAGACACACGGCGGGUGCUAACGUCCGUCGUGAAGAGGGAAACAACCCAGACCGCCAGCUAAGGUCCCAAAGUCAUGGUUAAGUGGGAAACGAUGUGGGAAGGCCCAGACAGCCAGGAUGUUGGCUUAGAAGCAGCCAUCAUUUAAAGAAAGCGUAAUAGCUCACUGGUCGAGUCGGCCUGCGCGGAAGAUGUAACGGGGCUAAACCAUGCACCGAAGCUGCGGCAGCGACGCUGAUGCGUUGUUGGGUAGGGGAGCGUUCUGUAAGCCUGCGAAGGUGUGCUGUGAGGCAUGCUGGAGGUAUCAGAAGUGCGAAUGCUGACAUAAGUAACGAUAAAGCGGGUGAAAAGCCCGCUCGCCGGAAGACCAAGGGUUCCUGUCCAACGUUAAUCGGGGCAGGGUGAGUCGACCCCUAAGGCGAGGCCGAAAGGCGUAGUCGAUGGGAAACAGGUUAAUAUUCCUGUACUUGGUGUUACUGCGAAGGGGGGACGGAGAAGGCUAUGUUGGCCGGGCGACGGUUGUCCCGGUUUAAGCGUGUAGGCUGGUUUUCCAGGCAAAUCCGGAAAAUCAAGGCUGAGGCGUGAUGACGAGGCACUACGGUGCUGAAGCAACAAAUGCCCUGCUUCCAGGAAAAGCCUCUAAGCAUCAGGUAACAUCAAAUCGUACCCCAAACCGACACAGGUGGUCAGGUAGAGAAUACCAAGGCGCUUGAGAGAACUCGGGUGAAGGAACUAGGCAAAAUGGUGCCGUAACUUCGGGAGAAGGCACGCUGAUAUGUAGGUGAAGCGACUUGCUCGUGGAGCUGAAAUCAGUCGAAGAUACCAGCUGGCUGCAACUGUUUAUUAAAAACACAGCACUGUGCAAACACGAAAGUGGACGUAUACGGUGUGACGCCUGCCCGGUGCCGGAAGGUUAAUUGAUGGGGUUAGCGCAAGCGAAGCUCUUGAUCGAAGCCCCGGUAAACGGCGGCCGUAACUAUAACGGUCCUAAGGUAGCGAAAUUCCUUGUCGGGUAAGUUCCGACCUGCACGAAUGGCGUAAUGAUGGCCAGGCUGUCUCCACCCGAGACUCAGUGAAAUUGAACUCGCUGUGAAGAUGCAGUGUACCCGCGGCAAGACGGAAAGACCCCGUGAACCUUUACUAUAGCUUGACACUGAACAUUGAGCCUUGAUGUGUAGGAUAGGUGGGAGGCUUUGAAGUGUGGACGCCAGUCUGCAUGGAGCCGACCUUGAAAUACCACCCUUUAAUGUUUGAUGUUCUAACGUUGACCCGUGAUCCGGGUUGCGGACAGUGUCUGGUGGGUAGUUUGACUGGGGCGGUCUCCUCCUAAAGAGUAACGGAGGAGCACGAAGGUUGGCUAAUCCUGGUCGGACAUCAGGAGGUUAGUGCAAUGGCAUAAGCCAGCUUGACUGCGAGCGUGACGGCGCGAGCAGGUGCGAAAGCAGGUCAUAGUGAUCCGGUGGUUCUGAAUGGAAGGGCCAUCGCUCAACGGAUAAAAGGUACUCCGGGGAUAACAGGCUGAUACCGCCCAAGAGUUCAUAUCGACGGCGGUGUUUGGCACCUCGAUGUCGGCUCAUCACAUCCUGGGGCUGAAGUAGGUCCCAAGGGUAUGGCUGUUCGCCAUUUAAAGUGGUACGCGAGCUGGGUUUAGAACGUCGUGAGACAGUUCGGUCCCUAUCUGCCGUGGGCGCUGGAGAACUGAGGGGGGCUGCUCCUAGUACGAGAGGACCGGAGUGGACGCAUCACUGGUGUUCGGGUUGUCAUGCCAAUGGCACUGCCCGGUAGCUAAAUGCGGAAGAGAUAAGUGCUGAAAGCAUCUAAGCACGAAACUUGCCCCGAGAUGAGUUCUCCCUGACUCCUUGAGAGUCCUGAAGGAACGUUGAAGACGACGACGUUGAUAGGCCGGGUGUGUAAGCGCAGCGAUGCGUUGAGCUAACCGGUACUAAUGAACCGUGAGGCUUAACCUU